CCAUACAAGCCGGGGAGUUAGCGGAGCCCUGUACCUGAAAUCCGCUACAGCAGGGGUGUAUUCCUUUUUUGAGGGUUGAGCCGUUGCGGCUUGAGCCGUUACCUGCUGCGUUGAAGAGUGGGUCUUGCGCAAUCAGGCGCUGUGAACCAUGUCAGGUGGGGAACCAAGCAGCAUUAAGCGGUUUUCCUGAUGUGCCGCGAGGCAGCCUGCUCCGAGCAGAAGGUGCGAAUAACACGCAGCGGUGAGAUUCGAUUUAAAGGUGUAUGG
rnacentral:SRP_RNA from 1 species